UCAUUCAUACGCCGUACGUGAAGUGCUUCGUUGAUGCUCGCCCAACACUCGUCCCGACGCCUGACAUAAGAUGUCGUGCACCGAUGCUGAUGUCGAUGUUGCAAAGCCGAUGCAAUCCCCGCCAUAGUGCGUCGAGGGUUGUAAAGGUGUUGAAGGCACACCAAAGUUUUUGCAUGGGCACCGCCCACGCCGGCUUGUGUCUACUAGGACUUUUAGUCCAUUUGCUUUCUUGAUUACAAAAUCAAGUAUGUCAUCAUUUGGUUCAAAGUUUGAAUCUCUUAAUUUCAUUCUAUUUCGUUUGAAUAAAUUUGUGUGC
rnacentral:lncRNA from 1 species